GAUGAACGCUGGCGGCGUGCCUAAUACAUGCAAGUCGAGCGAACAGAUGAGGAGCUUGCUCCUCUGACGUUAGCGGCGGACGGGUGAGUAACACGUGGAUAACCUACCUAUAAGACUGGGAUAACUUCGGGAAACCGGAGCUAAUACCGGAUAAUAUAUUGAACCGCAUGGUUCAAUAGUGAAAGACGGUUUUGCUGUCACUUAUAGAUGGAUCCGCGCCGCAUUAGCUAGUUGGUAAGGUAACGGCUUACCAAGGCAACGAUGCGUAGCCGACCUGAGAGGGUGAGCGGCCACACUGGAACUGGGACACGGUCCAGACCCCGACGGGAGGCAGCAGUGGGGAAUCUUCCGCAAUGGGGGAAAGCCGUACGGAGCAACGCCGCGUGAGUGAUGAAGGUCUUCGGAUCGUAAAACUUUUUUAUUAGGGAAGAACAAAUGUGGAAGUAACUAUGCACGUCUUGACGGUACCUAAUCAAAAAGCCACGGCUAAAUACGU
rnacentral:rRNA from 1 species